UACGUAGGGUGCGAGCGUUGUCCGGAAUUAUUGGGCGUAAAGGGCUCGUAGGCGGUUUGUCGCGUCGGGAGUGAAAACUCAGGGCUCAACCCUGAGCGUGCUUCCGAUACGGGCAGACUAGAGGUAUGCAGGGGAGAACGGAAUUCCUGGUGUAGCGGUGGAAUGCGCAGAUAUCAGGAGGAACACCGGUGGCGAAGGCGGUUCUCUGGGCAUUACCUGACGCUGAGACGCGAAAGCGUGGGGAGCAAACAGG
rnacentral:rRNA from 1 species